CCUACGGGUGGCAGCAGUGAGGAAUAUUGGUCAAUGGCCGGAAGGCUGAACCAGCCAUGCCGCGUGAAGGUCAGUGCCCUAUGGGCGUUAAACUUCUUUUGUGCGGGAGCAAUAAUGGUCACGUGUGGCCAGACGAGAGUACCGUACGAAUAAGCAUCGGCUAACUCCGUGCCAGCAGCCGCGGUAAUACGGGGGAUGCAAGCGUUAUCCGGAUUUAAUGGGUUUAAAGGGUGCGUAGGCUGUGAGGUAAGGCAGCGGUGAAAUGCCCCGGCGCAACGGGGUGAAGUGCCAUUGAUACUGCUUGGCUGGAAUGCGGAAGCGGGGGGAGGAAUGUGUGGUGUAGCGGUGAAAUGCAUAGAUAUGACACAGAACACCGAUUGCGAAGGCAGCUCACUAAGCCGCGAUUGACGCUGAUGCACGAAAGCGUGGGGAUCAAACAGGAUUAGAUACCCGUGUAGUC
rnacentral:rRNA from 1 species